AUGACAGAUCUCUAUAACCCGAAUAAAAGUGAUUUCACAAGGAAUAGGGCCCUUCUUACAAAGACAGCCGUGUCUAUCGGGGUUUCAGGCCCCACUGAGAGCUCUGUCAUCUGCCAAACCAAAAAGAACAGACAGAAGGAGGUGCCUGGGGUCAGAAGCACCUCGCAGUGCGCACAGUACUUGAUUCUGGGUAGGAAGCUCCAGGACACCCGAGUUUGCAGAGGCCAGGGGCAGCACAGAGGCCAGGGGCAGCAGAGGCCAGGGGCAGCACAGAGGCCAGGGGCAGCAGAGGCCAGGGGCAGCACAGAGGCCAGGGGCAGCACAGAGGCCAGGUGCAGCAGAGGCCAGGUGCAGCAGAGGCCAGGGGCAGCACAGAGGCCAGGGGCAGCACAGAGGCCAGGGGCAGCAGAGGCCAGGGGCAGCACAGAGGCCAGGGGCAGCAGAGGCCAGGGGCAGCACAGAGGCCAGGGGCAGCACAGAGGCCAGGGGCAGCAGAGGCCAGGGGCAGCAGAGGCCAGGGGCAGCACAGAGGCCAGGGGCAGCAGAGGCCAGGGGCAGCACAGAGGCCAGGGGCAGCAGAGGCCAGGGGCAGCACAGAGGCCAGGGGCAGCACAGAGGCCAGGUGCAGCAGAGGCCAGGUGCAGCAGAGGCCAGGGGCAGCACAGAGGCCAGGGGCAGCACAGAGGCCAGGGGCAGCAGAGGUCAGGUGCAGCAGAGGCCAGGUGCAGCAGAGGCCAGGGGCAGCACAGAGGCCAGGGGCAGCAGAGGCCAGGUGCAGCAGAGGCCAGGGGCAGCAGAGGCCAGGGGCAGCAGAGGCCAGGGGCAGCACAGAGGCCAGGGGCAGCACAGAGGCCAGGGGCAGCAGAGGCCAGGGGCAGCACAGAGGCCAGGGGCAGCAGAGGCCAGGGGCAGCACAGAGGCCAGGGGCAGCAGAGGCCAGGGGCAGCACAGAGGCCAGGGGAAGCAGAGGCCAGGGGCAGCAGAGGCCAGGGGCAGCAGAGGCCAGGGGCAGCACAGAGGCCAGGGGCAGCAGAGGCCAGGGGCAGCAGAGGCCAGGGGCAGCAGAGGCCAGGGGCAGCACAGAGGCCAGGGGCAGCAGAGGCCAGGGGCAGCAGAGGCCAGGGGCAGCACAGAGGCCAGGGGCAGCAGAGGCCAGGGGCAGCAGAGGCCAGGGGCAGCACAGAGGCCAGGGGAAGCAGAGGCCAGGGGCAGCAGAGGCCAGGGGCAGCAGAGGCCAGGGGCAGCACAGAGGCCAGGGGCAGCAGAGGCCAAGGGCAGCAGAGGCCAGGGGCAGCAGAGGCCAGGGGCAGCACAGAGGCCAGGGGAAGCAGAGGCCAGGGGCAGCAGAGGCCAGGGGCAGCAGAGGCCAGGGGCAGCACAGAGGCCAGGGGAAGCAGAGGCCAGGGGCAGCAGAGGCCAGGGGCAGCAGAGGCCAGGGGCAGCACAGAGGCCAGGUGUGGCAGUGGCCACGUGCAGCAGACAGGGCACAUGCAAGAGAGGCCAGGUGCAGAAGAGGCCAAGUUCAUGAACAUGGCAGAAGCCAAGUUCAGCAGACAGGCCAGAUGCGGCAGAGCCAGGCGCGGCAGAGACCAGGUGCAACCAGAAGUUUCACGCGGCUACAUCUCCCGGGGGGGCUUUGCAAAUCCUCACCGGACGUUCUGCGUUGUGCUUCCGAAAAGCCACAGGGGCUUCCCGCGAACCGCAGCGGCGCGGGUGCAGGCGGCGACAGCUCCCACUGAAGGCCCCUGCAGUGUCCGCAACGGACACUUCCCAGGGCAGGUGCUGGCGGCGGCUGGGACGGAGGCGCAGGGGAGUCCCGGUCACGCGGCGGCCGCUCCCCCGAAGCCCAGGGCGCCCGCCCGCUGGGCUCGCAGGAGUUUCUGCAGGUCUCUCCCGCAGCCGCAGGGAAGUCUCUUUGCGGCGCUGGGUCCCGGCUUUCAGACAGAAAGGCUCAUUGUCCCGAAGUCCCCAGGCCGGUCUGACCGCUGCGGAGACGCCCCGACGCCCCGCCCCGCGCCGAACGGCCCAGCUGCCGGGCGGGAGAAGCCGGGACCGGGCGCGGGAGCCGGGAGGGCGGGACUCGCCAGAGAGGCAGGGCUGGUGGGGUGGGUUGUUUUUUUAUUUUAA
rnacentral:lncRNA from 1 species